UACGUAGGGUGCAAGCGUUGUCCGGAAUUAUUGGGCGUAAAGAGCUCGUAGGCGGUUUGUCGCGUCUGCUGUGAAAACCCGAGGCUCAACCUCGGGCCUGCAGUGGGUACGGGCAGACUAGAGUGCGGUAGGGGAGAUUGGAAUUUCUGGUGUAGCGGUGGAAUGCGCAGAUAUCAGGAGGAACACCGAUGGCGAAGGCAGAUCUCUGGGCCGUAACUGACGCUGAGGAGCGAAAGCAUGGGGAGCGAACAGG
rnacentral:rRNA from 1 species